rnacentral:rRNA from 2 species
CCUUGACCUCAAAUCGGGUGAGACUACCCGCUGAACUUAAGCAUAUAAA